UACGUAGGGGGCGAGCGUUAUCCGGAUUUACUGGGCGUAAAGAGUGCGUAGGCGGUCUUUCAAGUCAGAUGUGAAAUCUCCCGGCUUAACUGGGAGGGGUCAUUUGAUACUGUUGGACUGGAGUGCAGCAGAGGGAGGUGGAAUUCCCGGUGUAGUGGUGAAAUACGUAGAUAUCGGGAGGAACACCAGAGGCGAAGGCGACCUCCUGGGCUGUUACUGACGCUGAGGCACGAAGGCGUGGGGAGCGAACAGGAUUAGAUACCCUCGUA
rnacentral:rRNA from 1 species